UACGAAGGGUGCAAGCGUUAAUCGGAAUUACUGGGCGUAAAGGGUGCGUGGGCGGUUGUUUAAGUCUGUCGUGAAAUCCCCGGGCUCAACCUGGGAAUGGCGAUGGAUACUGGGCAGCUAGAGUGUGUCAGAGGAUGGUGGAAUUCCCGGUGUAGCGGUGAAAUGCGUAGAGAUCGGGAGGAACACCAGUGGCGAAGGCGGCCUUCUGGACCAAUACUGACGCUCAUGCACGAAAGCGUGGGGAGCAAACAGG
rnacentral:rRNA from 1 species